rnacentral:rRNA from 1 species
UCGUAGUUGAAUUUGUGUCUCGCGCUGUCGGUUCAUCGCCUGCGUGCGGUGUUAACUGGCACGCCGCGGGACGUCUUGCCGGAAGACCGGUAUGUGUUUUUCAACGUGUCAUUCUUAACGUCCAUAUUACAUAAAAUAUUUUCAUUUAUAAAAUAUUUGAUUGUUGUAUGUUUGUGUGUGUAUAUAUGUUAUUUGUGUUUGGUGUUUUGUGUGGCGUGUGUGUGUUGUUAAUGUUAUAUGGUGUGUUAAUGUUUUUCCGUUUACAAUUAACGGUUUGAGUGGCGCACACAANUACACAUAUAUAUAUUAUACAGNCACACACACACACACACAUACAACAUACAUAUAUAAUUCAUUCACACACACACACACACAUACAUCUACAUAUUUUCAUAAUUUACCACACAUUACCACACACAUCAUUAUUUAUAAGAAUGGAUUUAUUGUAUUUGGCUCCGUUAUGCUUUGGCCGGCUUAGUGCAUACGUAGUCCGACUUUCAAUCCUGUCUAGGUGCUCUUAAUUGAGUGUCGUGGCGGGCCGGCACGUUUACUUUGAACAAAUUAGAGUGCUUAAAGCAGGCUAUUGUUGCCUGAAUACAGUGUGCAUGGAAUAAUGGAACAGGACCUCGGUUCUAUUUUGUUGGUUUUCGGAAUUUCGAGGUAAUGAUUAAUAGGGACAGAUGGGGGCAUUCGUAUUGCGACGUUAGAGGUGAAAUUCUUGGAUCG